GUAGGGCUAUUUGUGGAGAUACGUUCUCUCUCUAAAUCUCAUAGUCUCUCAUGGCGACCUGCUUCGUUCUUGUGUCUAUCUCAGGUGGAUCGCAACUUCAUGCGCGUGAGCUUUGGUCAACAAAACCAAAUUCAUUUGGAAAAACUCCAAAACUGAUAAUACAGAA